GACGAACGCUGGCGGCGUGCUUAACACAUGCAAGUCGAACGGAAAGGCCCUGCUUUUGUGGGCUGCUCGAGUGGCGAAAGUGUCAGUUACACGUGAUUAACCUGCCUCUGACUUUGGUAUAACUUCAGGAAACUAGUGCUAAUACCUCAUAGCUUCGCCUGCUGCAUGGUGGUGGUUGGAAAUCUUGCGCGGUUGGGGAUGGCCUCGCGGCUUAUCAGCUUGUUGGUGGGGUAGUGGCUUACCAAGGCUUUGACGGGUAGCCGGCCUGAGAGGGUGACCGGCCACAUUGGGACUGAGAUACGGCCCAGACUCCUACGGGAGGCAGCAGUGGGGAAUAUUGCGCAAUGGGCGGAAGCCUGAUGCAGCAACGCCGCGUGCGGGAUGACGGCCUUCGGGUUGUAAACCGCUUUCGCCUGUGACGAAGCGUGAGUGACGGUAAUGGGUAAAGAAGCACCGGCUAACUACGUG
rnacentral:rRNA from 1 species